GGAGAUAGGUGGCCUACUUCAUAUGGUUAGAAAGCUCUCUGAGUCUACUUUCCACUAAGGGAAGCCUCAUCUAUUUAUCACAUUCUCAGUUUGAGAUAUGAGCAUUUCAUGAGAAAAAGGUCAUUGCUGAAAGUUUGCUUCACUCACUACCUUUUGUUCAUUUGGUUGGUUGGACUUCUAUGCACUUCAUUUCAUCUUUGGAGAGCAUGAAUAGGGCAAUAUUGAGAUGUGUUGGAGGUGGCAAAGUGUAAGAGCUUAAUGGAUGAUCUUGUCUCUUUACUCCUUUUGUGUGACUUCAUGCUCGAGAGCUUUGUACAUUCUAUUUGAAGUUGAUCUUCAUGAGCACCUUGAGCUUUUAUGGGGCAUCCAUUAUCGAAGUCAAGGCCUUGUGCCUUGAGAAUGGUGUCCAUUUUUGGUCUUCUCCAAAGCCAAUGAGCAAUGGAGGUCAACAAAGCGAGUUUCCGUAACUUUUCUUCACAUUUAGAUUUUCAUUUUCAUAGUUAAUUUGUGUGCCUUUGCCCGGACUUCACUCUCAUGCCUAAAUCCAACACCGAUUUAGCUUUCGAGCUCACUUUGCAACAUUGAGGACAAUGUUGGUUUUAAGUGUGGGGGUGAAAGCUUGGCGCCUUAUACAUACAUAUAUAUAUAUAUAAUUGUUUCUUUCUUUGUUAGUUUUGAUGUAAAUAAGUAGUGCCUAGUGUCUUUCCGACCCCAAUGAUAAAAGCAUGAACUCAAUGAGCUGUGGCUUUGAAGAGAGCAUGUUUAUAGGUCUUAGGAUUUAUUUUGCAAUUAAUUUUGACAUGUGAUUGUAUGCUUGAGUGCUAGUUUUUGACAAGUAGGGAAAGCAUAUCUAGACUUGUAUGACUUGCAUACCUAUUUUUGAGAUUUUAAGCCUUCUUGAUAAAUAUGCAUUGUUCGUAUUUACUUUUUCUUCAUGUGUGCCAAUUUUGCGAUUACGGUCUCUCUAGAACUUGCUUCAUACCCUUCAAGGCAACUUGCUAGUUCAUGACGAGAUGAAAAAGAUUGAGGCAUUAGGAGUAAUAACCACCAUGGCCAAAGAAGCAUGUGCCCGAAAUGAUAUACCAUUAGAUUGCCACUUUGAGCC
rnacentral:lncRNA from 1 species